CUAGCGACUUCAGAGUUUGAUCCUGGCUCAGGAUGAACGCUGGCGGCAUGCCUAAGACAUGCAAGUCGAACGAAGUGGCCCAACAAUGAUUGCGUACUUGUACAAUAUCUGCGAUGGAUUUUCCACUUAGUGGCAGACGGGUGAGUAACACGUAAGUAAUCUACCUUUAAGACUGGGAUAACGUUUGGAAACGAACGCUAAUACCGGAUAAUUCAUAUAUAGACAACUAUUUAUGCUAAAAGGGGCUUCGGCCUUACUUAAAGAUGAGCUUGCGGCGUAUUAACUAGUUGGUGGGGUAAUGGCCUACCAAGGUGACGAUGCGUAGCCGAGCUGAGAGGCUAAUCGGCCACAUUGGGACUGAGACACGGCCCAA
rnacentral:rRNA from 1 species